rnacentral:lncRNA from 1 species
UGGGAGUCACGCUGCCUCUGAGACCCUGAAAUCCUGGUGUGAUCAAGCUCCUGGGAUCCUGUAAUUCUGGCAUAUUAAGAUAAUGUGCAUGUUCAAGCCCCUGGGAUUGGAGACUCCUCAUGUCUGAGGUUUUUGAGACUAUCUGCAGAGAUUGUGCCAAAGGUAAAUUUGAAAAUUGUUUUUUUAUAUCUUUGAAGAAUUGUGUUGGGAUUUGAUGGGGAUUGUAUGGAACAAGAGAAGGCCUUUCAACAGUUCCAGGCUGCUGUGCAGGCUGCUCUACCACUUGGACCAUAUGACCCAGAAGACCCGAUAGUACUUGAGCUGUCUGUGGCUGAUAGAGAUGCUGUUUGGAAACUCUGGUAAGCCCCUGUAGGUGAAUCACAGAAAAGACCUUUGGGAUUUUGGAGCAAAGCUCUACCAUCAUCUGCAGAAAACUAUUCUGCCUUUGAAAAGCAGUUCUUGGCCUGCUAUUGGGCCUUAGUGGAAACUGAACGUUUGACAAUAGGACACCAAGUUACUAUGCAACCCAUCAUGAGCUGAGUACUAUCAGAUCCUGCAAGUCAUAAAGUGGGACACGCACAGCAGCAGUCUAUUAUCAAAUGGAAGUGAUAUAUACGUGAUCAGGCCAGAGCAGGUCCUGAAGA